rnacentral:rRNA from 1 species
AACAAACGCUGGCGGCGUGCCUAAUACAUGCAAGUCGAACGGGGAAAGCUUUCGGGUGAGUACCAGUGGCGCACGGGUGAGGAACGCGUGGGUAAUUUUCCUUGAAGUGGGGGAUAACUAGUCGAAAGAUUAGCUAAUACCGCAUAAGACCACGAAAUCUGGGGAUUUUGAGGUAAAAGGUUUUUCGCUUCAAGAUAAGCCCGCGUAAGAUUAGCUAGUUGGUGAGGUAAUGGCUCACCAAGGCGACGAUCUUUAGCUGGUCUGAGAGGAUGAUCAGCCACACUGGAACUGAGACACGGUCCAGACUCCUACGGGAGGCAGCAGUAGGGAAUAUUGCACAAUGGAGGAAACUCUGAUGCAGCGACGCCGCGUGAGUGAUGAAGGACUUCGGUUCGUAAAGCUCUGUCGCAUGGGAAUAAUAAAUGAAGGUACCAUGCAAGAAAGGAUCGGCUAACUUCGUGCCAGCCGCCGCAGUAA